rnacentral:rRNA from 1 species
GACGAACGCUGGCGGCGUGCUUAACACAUGCAAGUCGAGCGGUAAGGCCCUUUCGGGGGUACACGAGCGGCGAACGGGUGAGUAACACGUGGGUGACCUGCCCUCAGCUCUGGGAUAAGCCUGGGAAACCGGGUCUAAUACUGGAUAUGACUCCAUGACGCAUGUUGUGGGGUGAAAGCCUUGUGCGGCUGAGGAUGGGCCCGCGGCCUAUCAGCUUGUUGGUGGGGUGAUGGCCUACCAAGGCGACGACGGGUAGCCGGCCUGAGAGGGCGACCGGCCACACUGGGGACUGAGACACGGCCCAGACUCCUACGGGAGGCAGCAGUGGGGAAUCUUGCGCAAUGGGCGAAAGCCUGACGCAGCGACGCCGCGUGAGGGAUGACGGCCUCGGUU